GUUCAUUUUUUAAUAAUGUAUAUGUUUCUGAUUCACCUUCGAUUUUUACAGAUUUUUACAGAUAUUUUUAAUAAUGACCUCGGUGGACCCUAUGCAUUUCUUGAGCCACUUUUUGUUCAAAGACCCCUUCUAUAUAAGAUACAGACAAGGAGAAAAAAGAGGAUUCAGAUAACUGUAUCACUUUCUGCAAGUACAAAUACACAAGCACAGAAUAUCUUUCCCCUUUAUGUACUUUUAGCUAGACCUACCAGUAAUAUUUCGCUUGAGGGCAUUCUCCGAUAUAUCGAGCGGGAUGAUGCUUGGUGGACGUGUACAUACUAAUGUGAUGCACCUUAGCCACACCAAGGUGGACGACAAACCUAACUCUACU